rnacentral:rRNA from 1 species
AUGUGUCAGCCUGACCCAAGCUCGACAUGUGAAUUUUGUUGUGACAUCUGGAUCCUCAUAGACCGCCCUGAUGAUGGACGUCUGCCCGAGAUCAGCACUUGUUCCCCACACGGCAUCUGUCAGCUGCUGGCUGCUUGGAGGAGGAAGAAGAAGCAGCAUCUGAGGAGCCCUUGA